rnacentral:rRNA from 1 species
ACGGAAGGCAGCAGUGGGGAAUAUUGCACAAUGGGCGCGAGCCUGAUGCGGCGAUGCCGCGUGAGGGAAGAAGGUUUUCGGAUUGUAAACCUCUGUCAACAGGGACGAAAAUGACGGUACCUGUGAAGGAAGCUCCGGCUAACUACGUGCCAGCAGCCGCGGUAAUACGGAGGGAGCAAGCGUUAUCCGGAAUUACUGGGUGUAAAGGGAGUGUAGGCGGGACUGUAAGUCAGAUGUGAAAUAUACCGGCUCAACUGGUAGACUGCAUUUGAAACUGCGGUUCUUGAGUGAAGUAGAGGUAAGCGGAAUUCCUAGUGUAGCGGUGAAAUGCGUAGAUAUUAGGAGGAACAUCAGUGGCGAAGGCGGCUUACUGGGCUUUAACUGACGCUGAGGCUCGAAAGCGUGGGGAGCAAACAGGAUUAGAUACCCUGGUA